rnacentral:tRNA from 1 species
GAGGGUGUAGCUCAGUGGUAGAGUGCGUGCUUAGCAUGUAUGAGGUCCUGGGUUCAAUCCCCAGUACCUCCA